rnacentral:rRNA from 1 species
UACAGAGGAGCCAAGCGUUGUCCGGAUUGACUGGGCGUAAAGCGCACGCAGGCGGAUGCGCGCGUGGGGUGUGAAAUCUGGCCGCUUAACGGCCAGGCGCCAUCCCAUACGGCGCGUCUGGAGUGAUGCAGAGGUCGAUGGAAUUGCCGGUGUAGUGGUGAAAUGCGUAGAGAUGUGGAGGAACACCGAUGGCGAAGGCAGCCCCCCUGGGUCAAGAUUGACGCUCAUGCACGAAAAGCGUGGGGAGCAAACAGG